UACGUAGGUGACAAGCGUUGUCCGGAUUUACUGGGUGUAAAGGGCGCGCAGGCGGGACAUCAAGUCAGUCGUGAAAUGCCGGGGCUCAACCCCGGAGCUGCGAUUGAAACUGAAGUUCUUGAGUAUCGGAGAGGAAAGCGGAAUUCCCAGUGUAGCGGUGAAAUGCGUAGAUAUUGGGAGGAACACCAGUGGCGAAGGCGGCUUUCUGGACGACAACUGACGCUGAGGCGCGAAAGUGUGGGGAGCAAACAGG
rnacentral:rRNA from 1 species